GCGCAGCAGGCGCGAAUCUUCCACAAUGGACGAAAGUCUGAUGGAGCGACGCCGCGUGAUUGAUGAAGUCCCCCUGGGACGUAAAGAUCUUUUAUGAGGGAAGAAGUUUAUUGACGGUACCUCAUGAAUAAGAGGCUCCUAAUCUCGUGCCAGCAGGAGCGGUAAUACGAGAGCCUCGAGCGUUAUCCGGAAUUAUUGGGCGUAAAGGGUGCGUAGGUUGUUCUGUUAGUCUUUUGUCAAAGCCCCGAGCUUAACUUGGGAUAUGCGGAAGAAACGGCAGAACUUGAAAGUGCGAGAGGCGUACGGAACUCAUGGUGUAGGGGUGAAAUCCGUUGAUAUCAUGGGGAACACCAAAUGCGAAGGCAGUACGCUGGCGCAUAUUUGACACUGAAGCACGAAAGCGUGGGUAGCGAAUGGGAUUAGAUACCCGCGUAGU
rnacentral:rRNA from 1 species